GGGGCAGGGAGGCCGGACAGCGAUGCCUGCUGCGUGAGGCCGGCGCACCGCGUUCCUGCACGUGGACUCGGGCGUCUCAGAAAUGAAACAAGAGAAAGAAACAAAACACUGAAGUUGGAGAAAGGCUGACAGCCCCUGACGCCAGAGCAAGAUCCUUGAGGGCGACAGGCAGUGGCCUGACACGUGCAGGCACGGUGUUCUUUCCCAUGGGACACGCCUUGGGUCACGGGUCACCAUGAGCAGGACAUGGAUAUGUCUGCAAGCAGGACUAGCAGAGGCCCGUGGCUUCCUCUCUGUGGACCAGCAGAAGGUCCAACCCAGACCACACAGCAGUGACCACUCAGGCUCUGAAGCCGGACCAGGACCUGCCUCUCGGCCUCACCCCUCCUGAGGGCCAGCCCUUCACUCACUCUUGACCUGGGGGCGUCCCAUUUGGGCUCCCUCCAGCCGUCGGCCAGCACCUUCAUGUACAUGGCUUCCAAAUGGACCCCAACUGAUGGCACUCCCCCAGAGGCCCUCUCAGCCCUGUGUGCCGAACCAGGACCCCCAGGGCUCCCAGCACUGCCCUCCAAGGAGGACGAGGACAUGGGCAGCCAGCACGGCAGCCUCGGUCACCUCCCCUGAGAUGUGCCCUUCUCUCCAGUUCCCCUGCCUGUGGCCGUCUCUCCUGAGCUAAGGAUGAGGAGCCCAGGCUUGGCCCCCGCCAGGAGCUCCAGAGGUUGAGGGCCGAGAGGUUGCCCGGAAGGAGGCUGCUCACAGCUGAAGCCAGGGUUCCUGGCCCUCAGCCCUGGGAUGGGGCUGGCUCUCUGUGGCUCCUCUGCCUCUCCCACCCCAUCCCCCACUUGUCUCCACUGCUCUUCCAGCUCUGAGGUCACUGUACCCUAAUUAAACACUUG